UAGAAGUUAACUAGUGAGAUCAAAAUAAACACUCAUAAACUCAAUUUACCUUUUUCUUUGACCAGGUCUGAGACGGCUCCCCCUCUGUCUCCUGCCUCGAGCCACCUGGUGGGGCAGCGAGGUUUACACAAGAGACUAGCAGGAGAGAGAGAGAGCACGCCAGGGAGUGGCCUUUUAUUGGGGAACAAGAAAUUCAGGGGAAAAUUCCAUCCAAUGAAGGUCGAGGGGGACAGCAUUCCAAGGUCAGGGUCAGUGAUUGGUCUCAGGGUCAAUGGUCAAUCACACCCCCACACGGAUGGGCUCUCGCACCUAGAAAGGGUGGGGAUUAGUUCUGACACAGUUUAGCCGGAACACCUCACACCCAGUCAGGGAGGUGACCAAUCACAUGCGAGAACGGCUUCCCACAGCCCACGAGAACACAUUCCUUCUAUUUGAUGAAGUGAAGUCUUCCCUGAUUUUAGAAUCCAUCUUUGAAGUCAAGGAAGACCCUGAAGCUGUAGUGUUGCCAUUUUGUCUUUUGACAAUACACAGGUACAGGACGCCUGUGCCCAGGUUUGCUGCACUCACCCCCCACAGGCCUGUCCCCUGAGCACACAGGCUUGGCUUGAGCAUUGACGAGUGUCAUGAAUAAACCAAACAAUAAAAGAUGAUUUGGACUGAGGAAGGAGAGGUCUGCCUCCUGCCGGGGUGAAGAGAGCCUCUGAGUGAAGACCUGAGUCAGGACGAGAGCCGCCCUGCAGGAAAGCGUCUUCCAGGGAAGCGGAGGAAGAGAGAGGCUGGACCCGAGGCUGCAGAGCCAGAGGAGGCCCUGGAGCCGGGGCACUGCGAACACUUGGCCCGGCGGAGACCCAUAAGCAAAAGACCUAAAUUAAUGAGAUGCAGUGUCCCCAAAUCAUCUCUUGAAGGAAUCACCCUUACAGUUGAACCCUUGCAAAUCCUCACAGCACAAGUCAUCUUUCAAUUCCUUGCGUUUAAAUACCUGCUCUUUCUGGGGAAGCCAUGUUAGCCUGAACACCCUCAGGGCUGGUUAGUUUGGCCCAAAGUACAAUCCAUAGUCGACCAGGUACAAUCCACAGUCGCAGCUGGAAUGUCCACCAUCACUGUUCACAGCCUUCAAAGGCAAACUGAGAGGUGAUUACACCACAGAGGCCUUGGCUAAAGACCUACAGGAAAAAGGAGCAACUCGAGCGUCCUAAUGUACUUAAAAUAAAAUCCCCAGGGAGUGGUCCUACACAGAUUCCAGACUGUUUGAAAAUCGGAGAGGAAAGGCAAGGAAAUGAGCUCCUGGACCAGGAUCCAUGGGGCUGCAGAGCCAUCCACCUGGGCACCUGUUACUAAUGGAGUCGGAAUCUGCAUCUUACAAGAUCCUUACACGACUGGUGUACAUCGCAAAGUUGGAGAAGCUUGCUUCUGAAAACCUGGAACAGAGAUCACAGGUGGCUCCAGUCCUGAAAAAGACGUGAAUGUUGGAAAUGCAGGUAGAGGAUUUUAACAGUUGUCUUAAGAACUAUAAGAAAAAGGUAAUGGCCAGGCACGGUGGCUCACUCCUAUAUCCCAGCAGCUCAGGAGGCUGAGGCAGGAGGAUCACAAGUUCAAAGCCAGCCUCAGCAACUUAGCAAGUCCCUGUCUCAAAAUAAAAAAUAAAAAAGGCUACGGAUGAAGCUCUGCUGCUAAGCACCCGUGGAUUCAAUCCUUGGUACAAAAAGAAAAAAUGAUGUUUAUAAAUUGAGAUUUUAUGUGUUUAUAACUAGAUAAGCAGUGCAGUGGUCAGCAUUGUGGGCUCUGAAGCCAACUACAUGGGUGUAUAUUCUAUUUCUUUCAAUUCACUUUUCCAGCUGGUGUCUCUGGGUAAAUUACUCAUCUCUGUUUCUCAGGGCUCUCAUUGGCAAAAUUUCAAAUAUAUGUUAA
rnacentral:lncRNA from 1 species